UCAGAUCUUGGUUUUUUCAUU
ensembl:piRNA 21ur-8028 ncRNA